rnacentral:misc_RNA from 1 species
UUGAUCUUGAUAGAGAGGAUGGUAAAUAUUUAUCUCCUGAGGCAGACAGAAGCGUACGCAACCUUUACAUGCUUCACAGGUAAAAAUUUGUGUUGUAAAAGAAUAUGAGAACAAAUUAAAAGAUAUUUUACUUGAACUAAUCUAUGACUGAGAAUUCAUAGGAAACUGAAUAGCACAAGUGAGUGUGCUUUGAGGACACCCUAUGCACCUAUGCGAGUAAGCUGCUCCAACUAUUUAAAAGAAAGAAAAGUGUCAUGAUAGCAAAAAGUAACUAAUAAUUGUCUGAUGAGGAGACGUAAAAGCACAAUGACAGCUUGAAAGGGCCAGUCACGAGGAUGACAGAUGGAAAACCUUGAAUAGUUACAUAGGAAGCUUGACAUAUUUAAACAAAAAAUUAAUUAUCUUACAGUUGAUCCGAAAUCAGGCUCAGAUGUGUGGGCUGCCUUGAUUUUGUCAUCUAGUGCAAAAUAUUCUAAAUUUUUGAGGCUAUGUGUGGAAUGACAUAAUAAUCAUUACAUAUAAAA